rnacentral:lncRNA from 1 species
GAGAUCUGAGGAGGAUGUGAAGAUUGAGAAGGAUCUUGUGGAUCUAACAAAGAAUCUGAGCAUAAACGGCGGCUGCCAUCAGAAGGAGAAUCCUGCAAUUGAGCCAAUAGAGAAUGGGGUCGCUGCUGUUGUUGCUGUUGCUGUGGCUGCACCAUAGGAGGACGAGGAUGGGGGGAAUUAGGAAAGAAAGACGUACCAGUAGUUUUUGAAGUUAAAAUGUCAAAAUGUUAUAGAGAUCUUAGAAGGGGUUGCUCCUCCCUCUGUUAGAAAAAGUGUUCUUACCGUUUUUGUUUUUGAUUUCCUGAUGCAGAAAAGGGUUCCUUUGCUUGUCUGCUCUUGUUGUAAGCCAGUUUUCAUUAGGCUUUGGUUAGCGAGUGAGAUCUGUUUGGCUUUUUAAUUUUGAGCUGCUGUUUUUCUGUUUGCCUUUGGAGUUUGUUCAUCAAUAAUUUCAUCCUUUUUUGAAAGGAUUUUCCUGAUU